rnacentral:rRNA from 1 species
UACGUAGGGUGCAAGCGUUGUCCGGAAUUAUUGGGCGUAAAGAGCGUGUAGGCGGCCAUACAGGUCCGUUGUGAAAACUGGAGGCUCAACUUCCAGACGUCGACGGAAACCGUGUGGCUAGAGUCCGGAAGAGGAGAGUGGAAUUCCUGGUGUAGCGGUGAAAUGCGCAGAUAUCAGGAAGAACACCAAUGGCGAAGGCAGCUCUCUGGGCCACUACUGACGCUGAGAAGCGAAAGCAUGGGGAGCGAACAGG